rnacentral:misc_RNA from 1 species
GAUGAAGAACGUAGUGAAAUGCGAUAAGUAGUGUGAAUUGCAGAAUUCAGUGAAUCAUCGAAUCUUUGAACGCACAUUGCGCCCCUUGGUAUUCCAUGGGGCACGCCUGUUCGAGCGUCAUUUGUACCUUCAAGCUUUGCUUGGUGUUGGGUGUUUGUCUCGCCUUUGCGUGUAGACUCGCCUUAAAAUAAUUGGCAGCCGGCGUAUUGAUUUCGGAGCGCAGUACAUCUCGCGCUUUGCACUCAUAACGACAGCGUCCAAAAGUACAUUUUACACUCUUGACCUCGGAUCAGGUAGGGAUACCCGCUGAACUUAAGCAUAUCAAUAAGCGGAGGA